UUUGUGGAUCUCACUUUCCUUUCCUUUUCUUUCUUUCCACCUUUUGAUGUCUUAGUUCUCGCUGUGAAAGUAGCGGAUAAGCUUCGGAGGGAAGCUAAGACUGUGAGGGUUGUUUCCUUGGUUUCUUGGGAACUUUUUUGACAAGCAAUAUCCCGAAAAUAAGGAGAGUAUGUUGCCUUACUACUCGAUCAGCUAUAGUUAGUCUCUUAUGCUUUAAUAAAAGAGAACUAUGAAGUUUUUGGCUGCUUGAAUUUCCUCAAUGCUGCAAAACAUAGGUUUUAGAAUGGAGUAGAUUAAGAAAAAUUGCAAUUGU